CCGUUAGCUCAGUUGGUUAGAGCGUGGUGCUAAUAACACCAAAGGUUGUGGGUUUGAUCCCCAUAUGG
rfam:Manacus vitellinus contig301, whole genome shotgun sequence.